UACGAAGGGGGCUAGCGUUGUUCGGAAUCACUGGGCGUAAAGGGCGCGUAGGCGGCCGCUCAAGUCGGGGGUGAAAGCCUGUGGCUUAACCACAGAAUUGCCUUCGAUACUGUUUGGCUUGAGACCGGAAGAGGUUAGUGGAACUGCGAGUGUAGAGGUGAAAUUCGUAGAUAUUCGCAAGAACACCAGUGGCGAAGGCGGCUCACUGGCCCGAUACUGACGCUGAGGUGCGAAAGCGUGGGGAGCAAACAGG
rnacentral:rRNA from 1 species